ensembl:lncRNA
AGUAGAACGUCAGUCUACUGACCCUCAACUUACGCUGAAUGUAAUCCACAAGAGGACAAACACUGUAUGGAAAAUGAUUCUACUUUCACCAGGAAGGAAAUGUCAUGGGCCUCCGAAUUGGGAGGGGGAAAAAAAAUCUUGCAGCAGUGCCUAUUGGAAAUUACCAGGAAUAAAUAUCUUUGUUUUCUUGAAAUAAAGUUCAAGGGCUUUUCUGGAGUGAGGGAGCAGACUGAGGGAAGAACCAGAAGGCUGCCAAAAUACAAUUGUGUGCCUUUAAAGGAAAUAACAACAAGAAUUAGGAGCGCCCUGGAGGCAAGGAAGACAAGAUGUGGUUUGGGGAUUUCAACUUCCAAGUUCAGCUGUGAGGCCUAUGGACUGAAUCUUAAGCUUUUUCUUGACAUCAGAUAUCUCCAUGUAUAUGGCAAUUCCUGCCACAGAAAUCUACUCUCAAAAAAGUCCCGGAACCCCUGAGGUCUGCUUCUGGGGAAACAAAACCACGGUAACUUUAGAAAUAUGGUAUUAAUGGGUAAAGACACCAUGGAUAUGAAGGAGAUUACCUAUGGAAGAAUAUUAAGAAGAGAAGAAGGUAAAUAAUCUUCCUUGAGGAACAUCCACAUUUAAAGGUCAGGGAGAAGAUAUAUCAGCAGAAGCAUCAGAGGGGGUUGUGGACAAACUAUUUUCAAAAACUAAGAUGUGAAGACCACUAGAAUUUGCUUAAAUGCUGUUGGAAAAAGAUAUAGCAAACAGGAGUGUGAAAAUAUAGGUAAGUGAAAAGAGGAAUAGUCACUGGUGUAAGAUUCCCAAGGGAGUAAGAUAAAAUUGAAUCCAGGUCCUGAAUGCUGGGAUAAACUUUGCAAAAUAUUUGGUAGGUUGGGUCAUAGAAAACAGAGGAAGUUCUUCUCUGAUAUUUGGAUAAUUCUGUAUUUGGAAACAACAAGAUAAUGGAUUGUCUUUCUUCCUACUUUUACCUUACUGUUUGAGUACUGGCAUGAACAAAACUCAGAACAUAAUGAAUCUCACUUAUUUCCAAGUGGGCUACUCCGUUAUUUAAAAAAACACAUCACAUGGACAUGGAGUUUGAGGAAAAUAUUUAUUCUAUUUAAUAUUAAGUUAGGCUUCCUUCCUCUAUUCAUCAAAUUGAACUGGAUAGAAUAGGAGUCCCUAAUCCAACACCUCCAACUGGAGAAACAGUCUACUGAUUCUCACAGAUCUCAUGCCCUGCUUUGUGUAGAUAAUUUUCAUAUGGAUUAUAAUGAAUAAUAUUAAUUUAAACAAUUCCCUAGAAGCCUAAAACAUUUUGUUUGAAGCUCUUCUUUGUCCAUCUAAAAAUAACAUCUGCUCUACAAGGCUACCAUCAUAAUUGAGUUCUACAUCUCCAGUCACAACUAGAACCAAAAUUACAGUGGACAUACAAUAAUUCUUUAUCUCUUGGUUCCAGAUUUUUCUCAGUUAUUUAUAUCUCUCUAUUAUGGUCUCAUGUUCCUUUCUGUUACAGAGUUUCAGUCUAUGUUGAGUCAAGCAAUUAUAGGGCUGCUUAAACUCUGGUUCAUUAGCCAUGGUCCACUAGCAUCCAUGUCAUGGCGCUAGGGUUUAAUAUGGUUAAUAGGAUCCUGGAUGAGGAAGUAGAUUGAAAAUUAACUUUAAAUUAAACAUAAAACACUAAAAAUAAUUAGAAGCAUUUAAAAAUAAAUGUUUCCAUAUAUGAGUUAGAAAAUCGGACUUUAUUUUGAUCCUAGGGGCUGCUGGCUAUAGUGAAAUGUAUAAAAAAGAGAGCGUGAUCCUAGUUUCUGUCUCUACUAUGGGUUACUUGUGAUUAACUUCAAAUAUUCCCUCCGCAAGAAGAGGCCCAGUAGAAGAAAAUGAGCUUCAGUUAUUCCAGCACAACUACUGUGAUAUUUGUAAAGAUUCAAAACCUAUAAUAAAAUGUGUAAAAGGAAACUCCAUUUGAAAUGAUUUGAAAUCUCACAUGGAAAUCUAGUUUUUUAAAUCAGAGCUUAGUCAGAGAAAAUAACAGAAUAUUGUAAUAAUUGAAUUACAAAAACAAAAAUUUUGGAAAAUAAUUUUUUCUCUCAUGUGAUGUGUGUAUGUCUAUCUAUUUAGCAAUGGUGUUAUUCCAUCAAAUGGGAUUAGAUUCAUUUUUGACUCCUGCUAAGCACCCUGUCCCCCCAACCUCAAGAUUAUGAAAGUGGAAGGGAAGGGGGAGAUAGGGAGGAAAUAUGACUUAUUUAAACUGUAUUAAAAUGCUGAAAUAAAAUGAACAUUCAAAACUCCUAUGAUUGAAUUUAAUCUUUUGUUCAACUCAUUCACUGAGGAAAUCUGUCUCCAAAUGGUUCAUAUCGUAGAAUAUGAUGACUCCAGUAACCUCUCCUAGACUCCACAUUUGCUAUAAAGACUAUCGUGGCUGAUGAUAGAUGAUGAAAUUUACUCUCAUGGUUUGCAGGGAGCCUAGUGCCAAUAAUUUAAGACUUUCCAUGAUACAUCACUAACUUUAUAUUCUAAGCAAUCACAACCUAUUUUUAUCCACCUGCUGUUUUAUGGCUUAGAAAUCACUUUAUUUGUUUGUGAUGGUAAUUUAUUAUAAAAAAGAUUUUCAAAUUACAUAUUUGCAUUGAAUUAGGGAAGGAAUUAAAAUGCUUUGCUCCACCAUUCUUGGUAAAUAAAUAUAAUCUUUUCAAUAGUUUGAAGGUUCUCAAGGAAAUGAGACUCUUGGUCACUUUUAGAGUUUUUUAUUUAUGAACAAAAUCUGUGGGAGCAUAUUCAAGUUUUAGGCAAGAGAAGCCCAGAAAUCAGUUCUUAAGUUAGUAGAGAAGGGUUGUAACUACAUAUUUGGAGGACUUUUAUCAUUUAGAAUAUGUCGUGGGUGGCUCUUUCAAAAUAUUGUCUACUAGCAGCCAUUGAAAUAAUAUUUCUCUUACUUCAGACAUCUGAUGGCUACCUUUAUAAUUUCUGCCUAUAGGAAUCUAUUAUACCUAUAUCAUUAUUUUCCUAAUUUUUCUUCAAAUAAACUCACUUUUCACUUCAAUAAAUUUACAUAAGGGAAAUUUGAUAUCACAACUAUGAAUUAAAACCAUGUUUAACAACCGUAAGUGAAAGGUAAUUAAAAAAUAAAAUCAAUCUUAUUAAUUCUAGUUAGAUACUAUUCCUAUUGAAGAAUAAAUCAUAAAAAUAGACAUUCAG